AGAGAUGGACAUUUAAAAAAGUGAAUACGUUUAUAAAGUGAAAAGGUUACAGUUCGCUAAGGCUAAUGUGCUAUGAAGAAAAAAAUGUAGAACUCGCUGGAGUGCAGCUGGGACAGCGUCUGUGACGUCACAGUAGUGCACAGCGAGGCUCCACCCCACACUCACUCCCGGCCCCGCCCACAGCGACUUCUGGUGCUGAGCGCUCCAGGCAUGGAGAAAGCAGAGACUGGGCGUCCCAGGGAACACAAGAGCCCGUGUUCAAAGACUGGGAGAAAGCAGGAGUUCAGGGAAAGAGACAGAAGAGGAAAUUGGAUCUAUGCUUCCAAGUUACGUAGCCAAGACUGGAGCCGGGCUUUAAAAGCCCGCUACCCUCCCCACAUCUGCUCAGAUGUGCGACCCCAUCCGUUGAGCCGCGUUCAGUGAGAGCCUGCACGUGUCACCAGAGACACGGAGAUGAAGAAGGCUGUGCUUCAGGAUGUCGGGCGAGGCACCAAAGCUUUCCUGCCUUCUAACAUUCAGAUGAAAAUCCCAGGACGGGUUAUCGCUCCCUCCAUCAAGGCCGCUGAGAAGGCAGAAGAGGUUGGACGAUGCUCCCUGGCCUUCCUUGUAAUGGCCAGACUGCUUUUCAUUUUGCUCUGGAAUCGCUCCCACCAGCCCUGCUGACUUCAUUACGGUCCUCGCAGCCACAGCGUGGGGGAGGGAGCCUGCAGCCCAGGCACGGCUAACCUCUCUCCGGGGCACCUUCUUCUUUCUGAAGAGAAACAAGGGGCGGGUUGGGUCUCUCUGCAGAAGCCACUCUGUCUUGAACACAAUUUCCUGGGCUGUGGAAGUCAGCGGCGACCGCGGCCUUUACAGUAACUGCCAAGCCUAAUGGCAUCUUGUGAUGAGGUUUUACUGUAAACAGCGGAGAGGGUGGAGGGCAGUGAGGCCCCGCUUCCUGCUGGCAUCCAGUGCUUUGUCCCAUCUCAGAAAUAACACCUCUCACGUGGGCUUCUUUACCAGCCGUGCACAUUGUUCCAUGUGCGGGGAUCCUGGGAUUAAU